UUUCCCUGAGGAUAGUUGGCAUUCUGAGAAAUAAACAGCUUUAUCUGAUAAAGCGAAUGGUUAGAGGCAUCCUCAGCCUGUUGUUAUACUUUAAUUGGGUCAGAAGCUUACCUUACUUAAAUGGAGUUUUGCAUUGAACACGAGUGCCA
rnacentral:ncRNA from 1 species